rnacentral:snRNA from 1 species
GUUUUUUUUAGCACAUCCGAUAAAAUUGGAACGAUACAUAGAUGUUUAGCAUGGCCCCUGAGCAAGCUCCAAAUCAAUAUGCAUUUUGU